rnacentral:rRNA from 1 species
GAUGAACGCUGGCGGCGUGCUUAACACAUGCAAGUCGAACGGAAAGGCCAGUGCUUGCACUGGUACUCGAGUGGCGAACGGGUGAGUAACACGUGGGUGAUCUGCCCUGUACUUCGGGAUAAGCUUGGGAAACUGGGUCUAAUACCGGAUAGGACAACUUUUUGGAUAUUGUUGUGGAAAGCUUUUGCGGUAUGGGAUGAGCUCGCGGCCUAUCAGCUUGUUGGUGGGGUAAUGGCCUACCAAGGCGUCGACGGGUAGCCGGCCUGAGAGGGUGUACGGCCACAUUGGGACUGAGAUACGGCCCAGACUCCUACGGGAGGCAGCAGUGGGGAAUAUUGCACAAUGGGCGCAAGCCUGAUGCAGCGACGCCGCGUGGGGGAUGAAGGCCUUCGGGUUGUAAACUCCUUUCGCUAGGGACGAAGCUUUUUUGUGACGGUACCUGGAGAAGAAGCACCGGCUAACUACGU